UGACCGCAAACCGACACAGGUGGAUGAGGAGAGAAUCCUAAGGCGAGCGGGAGAAGCGUUGUUAAGGAACUCGGCAAAUUGACCCCGUAAGUUCGCGAGAAGGGGUGCCUUCAGAGGAGCAAUCCGAUGGAGGCCGCAGAGAAAUGGCCCAAGCAACUGUUUAUCAAAAACACAGGUCUCUGCUAAAUCGUAAGAUGAAGUAUAGGGGCUGACGCCUGCCGGGUGCUGGAAGGUUACGGGGAUUAGUAAGCGCAAGCGAAGCAAUGAACUUAAGCCCCAGUAAACGGCGGCCGUAACAAUAACGGUCCUAAGGUAGCGAAAUUCCUUGUCAGGUAAGUUCUGACCCGCACGAAUGGCGUAAUGAUUUGGGCACUGUCUCGACAACGCACCCGGUGAAAUUGUAGUACUCGUGAAGAUGCGAGUUACCCGCGACUAGACGGAAAGACCCCAUGGAGCUUUACUGUAGCCUGAUACUGUAUUUCGAUAUCUCAUGUACAGGAUAGGAGGGAGGCGGAGAAGCCAGGACGCCAGUCUUGGUGGAGCCAACGUUGGGAUACCUCUCUUGAGAUAUUGGAAUACUAACCAGAGGCCAUGAACUGGUCUUGGGACAAUGUCAGGUGGGCAGUUUGACUGGGGCGGUCGCCUCCAAAAGAGUAACGGAGGCGCCCAAAGGUUACCUCAGCACGGUUGGAAAUCGUGCAACGAGUGCAAAGGCAUAAGGUAGCCUGACUGCGAGACAAACAAGUCGAGCAGAUACGAAAGUAGGGCUUAGUGAUCCGGCGGUAUGAGAGUGGAAUUGCCGUCGCUCAACGGAUAAAAGCUACCCUGGGAUAACAGGCUUAUCUCCCCCAAGAGUCCACAUCGACGGGGAGGUUUGGCACCUCGAUGUCGGCUCAUCGCAUCCUGGAGCUGAAUUCGGUUCCAAGGGUUUGGCUGUUCGCCAAUUAAAGCGGUACGCGAGCUGGGUUCAGAACGUCGUGAGACAGUUCGGUCCCUAUCUGUCGUGGGCGCAGGAUAUUUGAAGGGAGCUGUCCUUAGUACGAGAGGACCGGGAUGGACGAACCUCAGGUGCACCAGUUGUCACGCCAGUGGCAUGGCUGGGUAGCCAAGUUCGGCAGGGAUAAACGCUGAAGGCAUCUAAGCGUGAAGCCCCCCCUAAGAUGAGAUAUCCCACCGCAAGGGUAAGACCCCAUGUAGACCACAUGGUUGAUAGGUCAGGAGUGAAAGUGCAGCAAUGCAUGGAGCUGACUGAUACUAAUCGGUCGAGGGCUUGACC
rnacentral:rRNA from 1 species